GGUGAACGCUGGCGGCGUGCCUAAGACAUGCAAGUCGAGCGGGGCAGGUUUAUACCUGUUCAGCGGCGGACGGGUGAGUAACGCGUGGGUGACCUACCCGGAAGAGGCGGACAACCUGGGGAAACCCAGGCUAAUCCGCCAUGUGGUCCUGUCCUGUGGGGCAGGACUAAAGGGGCGACCCGCUUCCGGAUGGGCCCGCGUCCCAUCAGCUAGUUGGUGGGGUAAAGGCCCACCAAGGCGACGACGGGUAGCCGGUCUGAGAGGAUGGCCGGCCACAGGGGCACUGAGACACGGGCCCCAGUCCUACGGGGGGCAGCAGUGAGGAAUCCUCCGCAAUGGACGGAAGUCUGACGGAGCGACGCCGCUUGGAGGAGGAAGCCCUUCGGGGUGUAAACUCCUGAACUGGGGACGAAAGCCCCGUGUAGGGGGAUGACGGUACCCAGGUAAUAGCGCCGGCCAACUCCGUG
rnacentral:rRNA from 1 species